GGAGAGGUGGCAGAGCGGUUGAAUGCGGCGGUCUUGAAAACCGUUGAGGGUUUGUAGCCCUCCGUGGGUUCGAAUCCCACCCUCUCCGCCA
rnacentral:tRNA from 1 species